AGAGAGAGAGAGCGAGCUAGCGCUAAAGCAUUCGCACAGUUAGCACUGCAGCCUAAUGUGCAUUUAUCUGCUUUCGUAGCCAACUUUGACUUAUUUAAGCGUUAGUGUAAAAGAUCAUGCAUUCGAUACACCUUCUCAAGUUUUCAUAGCUUUAUAUUGUCAGUUGGGUGAGUUUGCAUCAGUGCAGGACGGUGUUUUUGUAAAGAGCUGAGUUAGCUUAGCUGUAGCGCGAGCAGCCAGCGAGUCGAAGUUCCCUCAAGCUCCCUUUGCGUUUAUCCUUUAAGAUGCCUGCAAUGUUAGAGAAGGGCACAACCGAGAUAUCGGGUAAAAGAAGGGGCAGAACAUCUGUAAAUAACCCGACCAAAAGUUUUACUUCAAACGGGAACAGUAACAAUUCAUGGGAGGAAGGAAGUUCGGGUUCCUCAAGUGAUGACGAGCAUGGUGCAGGAGGGAUGCGAGUUGGAUCGCAAUAUCAGGCAGUUGUUCCCGAUUAUGAUCCAGAAGUAGCAAAGGCAAGCCAUGAGAGAGAGAAUCUGGGUAUGCUUGUGUGGAUUCCAAGUCAGAGCAUAUCAGAGGCCAAAUUGGAUGAAUAUAUUGCAAUAGCCAAAGAAAAACAUGGGUACAAUAUGGAGCAGGCAUUGGGCAUGCUGUUUUGGCACAAACACAACAUUGAAAAGUCUUUGGCAGAUCUUCCCAACUUUACCCCUUUCCCAGAUGAGUGGACAGUGGAGGACAGGGUGCUGUUUGAACAGGGUUUCAGCUUUCAUGGAAAGACGUUUCACAGAAUCCAGCAGAUGCUACCAGACAAGUCCAUUGCAACUCUGGUUAGAUUCUAUUACUCGUGGAAGAAAACACGCAGCAAAACGAGUGUGAUGGACCGGCAUGCCCGCAAACAGAGGAGAGACAGAGAAGAGAGUGAUGAUGAAGCAGAAGAAAACCGUUGCAAUUCCCCAGGGGAUGCUGAAUUUGAGCCAAAUAAGGAAGAGAAGAAAGAGGGAACGUCUGGAGUUGAAAAACAAGAAUCAAAACCAGCAGUUGUGCAGAAGCCAGCAAACACUGCCGAAAAAUCAAUGCAUAUUAAGAAGGAAGCACAGGGACUUGCUGGGAGGAACCUACACAGAGCAAAGAAGAAACCUCCAAAGGGAAUGCAUUUAAACUCCAGUGAUGUGACUGCAAUCUCCAGCAGCGGCCCGGCUGCAGUUAGCCUUCUGAGACAGCUAGAUAUGGAGCUCAUCGGUAUAAAACGACAGAUUCAGAACAUUAAACAGAACAAUAGUGCCCUGAGAGACAAGCUGGAAACAGGUGUUGAUGAGUUCAGGCCAUCUGAGGCUAGUCAGAAAUUUAAUACACGCUGGACCACAGAAGAGCAGCUGCUUGCAGUACAAGCAAUAAGGAAGUAUGGACGGGAUUUCCAAGCUAUUUCUGAUGUGAUCGGCAACAAGUCUGUGGUUCAAGUGAAAAACUUCUUUGUGAAUUACCGUCGACGUUUUAACCUGGACGAGGUGCUGCAGGAGUGGGAGGCUGAGCACGGUGUGGAGGGAAGAGAGGAAGAAAAGAUGGAAGUGUCUUCCGAGGAAGGGAACAACCCUGGGCCUGCAGAAAGCCAGACAGAGGACUUUGACUUGGUCCUAGUCACACAUCCCUUCCAGUUACCUUUUUGUUACUGUAGUAUAUCUUCUAGUUAUAUGAUUUGUUCUUUGAAGUAGAAUGUAAAGAGGGUUAGAUGAUCUCUGGUUGGAUUAUGUCAAGCUAUUUAUUUGCGUGAAUUAGGAGAACUGCGCUGUAUCAAGAGACAGAGUAGAUUCAGUUUUAAUAUUAAUCUGAAAAAUUAGAUGGUUUGCAGCGCUUAUAUAUUGUUAAAGAGAAUUGGUCCAGUAUUAGGUCAGAAUAAAUGUUUAAUCAUGGACCCUUGUAUAUGGUGAAUUUUAAUUGAAAUGAAUUUUAUCUUAUAAGUAAGUACAGGCAAAUAUAGUUAUGGAAUGGGAAAUUGUAUUUUAAGAAUGUUUGUUUUUGCUUGUAUUUUAAAGAUAUCAUUUCGAACAGUUUUGCAUGCAUGAACAUUUUCUUGACACAGUCUCAGUGCCAAGGUUAAGCUUUUCACCCUCUUGGGGGUGUCUAAACAAAAAUUUGAUAUGGUGUUUGGAGAUAUAAGGUAGAUGAGUUCCUAUUAUAAGGGUUAUUUAAAAUACAUGCAUAUCUCACCUGUUUCAACCAACUUUUUCCCCUCUAAUAACUGUACCAGUACCAUAUACUGUAUGUGUGAACUCCUUUUAGGCAUAUGAGUGCUGAUAACAUGUAUAUGGUUGAGGUAAAAAUUUGUGUGUCUGCGUGUGUGGGUGUGAUCUAAUGUGGCCAUAGACUUCAUCUGUAUAUGUGAUCAGUUUGUCACAUUAGUCAUAAUAAACUUAAAGAGAUACUGUAUAUACUCUCCAAUGCAUUGUUACAAUUUUUUUUUAACUAAACACAUUUUGUUACAUUUAGAGAAUUCAUGCACUAUAUAAGUUAUAAUUUGAGAUGUAAAGCUUUGUAAACUCUUGGUGACAACAUCAUUCUUGUUUUGCAGUGGGUAAUAAAUCAAAGGAAUUAGUAAUAAGUAAAUAACAGACUAUGAAGGAGAUUUUUUUUUUCAGUGUUGUGUUCAGAAUAACAAGAACAGACAAUGCUAGAAACAUUUUAUGAGUUGUUAGAGGGGCAGUGACUCCUCAUUGCCUUCCACUUUCAAUUACACAACACUGUAAACGCACACACACACACACAAAAAGAGCCAGACUGAACAGCAACCAAGAAUGGUACAAUAUUGUAAUAAAUGCAUAUAUCUACAUAUGUUUGGACACUUAAAGGGAUAGUUCACUCAAAAAUGAAAAUUCUCUCAUCAUUUACUCAUAUGCCGUUUCUACAGAACAAAAAUGAAGAUUUGUAGAAGAAUAUUUCAGCUCUUUAGCUCUAUACAAUGCAAGUAAAUGGUGAUGACCAGACCUUUCAAGCUCCAAAAAUAACAAAGGCAGCAUAAAAGUAGUCCAUAUGACCAUAGGUGGAUUAUGGACUGGGCCAAUGGGGCCAGUGCCCAGGGGUCAUUGACUACCAUGGGCCCUGGGCUGCAACAGGGGCAUGUGACUAUGAGGGCCCCCAGCCUUCUUAUAGGACCCUUUUGCCUUCCUAUUUCUAAUUCAAUUUUAAUCUUAUAACGCUGCCUGUUUUGACAGCUGAAGUUUGAAAUUAUAAACAUUCUAAAACAGACUCAUAGCUCAUUUAUAUAUUCUGUCAAUGUAAUGUAAUCUAGGGGGAUUUUGGACACUUUGAAAAGGCUUAAAUUAUGCCUUUGCUGGGCUUUUCGAUGGAAGAAUGAUAAUGGUAGCUAAGCUGUAGGGUCGUUCCAAAAAAUGACCAACUGACCACUAUUUUUGAGGCCUACACCUUUCAGCCCUUCAAAGCUCUCACAAUGGAGGGUAAAGUCUUUGAAGGAAAUAGGGUAUAGGGAUGAUCGCUUCUGAAUGGAAUGCACUCCAUCAUUCAUAUGAGUUAGAAAAGGUAUAACAGCAUGAGCCAGAAUUACCUGAACUCUGCCAAAUUUCACCAAACCUUUGCAUAGAUAAUGUAGGAGCCAGCUGUAUUUGUUAAAUUCAUAAAUAU